GGCUCUGUAGCUCAGCGGUAGAGCAACGGCAUCAUAAGCCGUGGGUCGGAGGUUCGAAUCCUCCCGGAGCCACCA
rnacentral:tRNA from 1 species